UAGUCCACGCCGUAAACUAUGUUCACUGGUUGUACGCGAUACACUGUGUGCGACUGAGGGAAACCAUUAAGUGAACCACCUGGGGAGUACGUUGGCAACAAUGAAACUCAAAGGAAUUGACGGGGGCCCGCACAAGCGGAGGAACAUGUGGUUUAAUUCGAUGAUACGCGAGGAACCUUACCUGGGCUUAAAUGUAGAGUGCAUUAUUUGGAGACAGAUAUUUCCUUCGGGACUCUUUACAAGGUGCUGCAUGGUUGUCGUCAGCUCGUGCCGUGAGGUGUCGGGUUAAGUCCCAUAACGAGCGCAACCCCUAUCGUUAGUUGCUAGCAGGUCAAGCUGAGGACUCUAACGAGACUGCCGGUGUAAACCGAGAGGAAGGUGGGGAUGACGUCAAAUCAGCACGGCCCUUAUGUCCAGGGCUACACACGUGUUACAAUGGUCGGUACAAUGGGCAGCUACCUGGCAACAGGACGCUAAUCCCCAAAGCCGAUCUCAGUUCGGAUCGGAGUCUGCAAC
rnacentral:rRNA from 1 species